CAAUCAAACCGGGAGAUAGCUGGUUCUCCCCGAAAGCUAUUUAGGUAGCGCCUCGUGAAUUCAUCUCCGGGGGUAGAGCACUGUUUCGGCCAGGGGGCCAUCCCGGCUUACCAACCCGAUGCAAACUGCGAAUACCGGAGAAUGUUAUCACGGGAGACACACGGCGGGUGCUAACGUCCGUCGUGAAGAGGGAAACAACCCAGACCGCCAGCUAAGGUCCCAAAGUCAUGGUUAAGUGGGAAACGAUGUGGGAAGGCCCAGACAGCCAGGAUGUUGGCUUAGAAGCAGCCAUCAUUUAAAGAAAGCGUAAUAGCUCACUGGUCGAGUCGGCCUGCGCGGAAGAUGUAACGGGGCUAAACCAU
rnacentral:rRNA from 1 species